AACGAACGCUGGCGGCAGGCUUAACACAUGCAAGUCGAGCGCCCCGCAAGGGGAACGGCAGACGGGUGAGUAACGCGUGGGAAUCUACCCAUCUCUACGGAAUAACGCAUGGAAACGUGUGCUAAUACCGUAUACGUCCUUCGGGAGAAAGAUUUAUUGGAGACGGAUGAGCCCGCGUUGGAUUAGCUAGUUGGUGGGGUAAAGGUCUACCAAGGCGACGAUCCAUAGCUGGUCUGAGAGGAUGAUCAGCCACACUGGGACUGAGACACGGCCCAGACUCCUACGGGAGGCAGCAGUGGGGAAUAUUGGACAAUGGGCGCAAGCCUGAUCCAGCCAUGCCGCGUGAGUGAUGAAGGCCCUAGGGUUGUAAAGCUCUUUCACCGGUGAAGAUAAUGACGGUAACCGGAGAAGAAGCCCCGGCUAACUUCGUGCCAGCAGCCGCCGCGGUAA
rnacentral:rRNA from 1 species